rnacentral:rRNA from 1 species
CCUACGGGAGGCUGCAGUGGGGAAUAUUGGGCAAUGGGCGUAAGCCUGAACCAGCCAAGUCGCGUGAGGGAUGAAGGUUCUAUGGAUCGUAAACCUCGUUUAUAAGGGAAUAAAGUGCGGGACGUGUCCCGUUUUGUAUGUACGUUAUGACUAAGGAUCGACUAACUCCGUGCCAGCAGCCGCGGUAAUACGGAGGAUCCGAGCGUUAUCCGGUUUUAUUGGGUUUGAAGGGUGCGUAGGCGGCCUCUUAAGUCAGCGGUGAAAGUAUGUGGCUCAACCAUAGAAUUGCCGUUGAAACUGGGAGGCUUGAGUAUGUUUGAGGCAGGCGGAAUGCGAGGUGUAGCGGUGAAAUGCGUAGAUAUCACGCAGAACCCCGAUUGCGAAGGCAGCCUGCCAAGCCAUGACUGACGCUGAUGCGCGAAAGCGUGGGGAUCAAACAGGAUUAGAUACCCGGGUAGUC